rnacentral:rRNA from 1 species
GACGAACGCUGGCGGCGUGCCUAAUACAUGCAAGUAGAACGCUGAAGAGAGGAGCUUGCUCUUCUUGGAUGAGUUGCGAACGGGUGAGUAACGCGUAGGUAACCUGCCUGGUAGCGGGGGAUAACUAUUGGAAACGAUAGCUAAUACCGCAUAAAAUUGAUUAUUGCAUGAUAAUUAAUUGAAAGAUGCAAUUGCAUCACUACCAGAUGGACCUGCGUUGUAUUAGCUAGUUGGUGAGGUAACGGCUCACCAAGGCGACGAUACAUAGCCGACCUGAGAGGGUGAUCGGCCACACUGGGACUGAGACACGGCCCAGACUCCUACGGGAGGCAGCAGUAGGGAAUCUUCGGCAAUGGGGGGAACCCUGACCGAGCAACGCCGCGUGAGUGAAGAAGGUUUUCGGAUCGUAAAGCUCUGUUGUAAGAGAAGAACGGGUGUGAGAGUGGAAAGUUCACACUGUGACGGUAUCUUACCAGAAAGGGACGGCUAACUACGUGCCAGCAGCCGCGGUAAUACGUAGGUCCCGAGCGUUGUCCGGAUUUAUUGGGCGUAAAGCGAGCGCAGGCGGUUAGAUAAGUCUGAAGUUAAAGGCUGUGGCUUAACCAUAGUAUGCUUUGGAAACUGUUUAACUUGAGUGCAGAAGGGGAGAGUGGAAUUCCAUGUGUAGCGGUGAAAUGCGUAGAUAUAUGGAGGAACACCGGUGGCGAAAGCGGCUCUCUGGUCUGUAACUGACGCUGAGGCUCGAAAGCGUGGGGAGCAAACAGGAUUAGAUACCCUGGUAGUCCACGCCGUAAACGAUGAGUGCUAGGUGUUAGGCCCUUUCCGGGGCUUAGUGCCGCAGCUAACGCAUUAAGCACUCCGCCUGGGGAGUACGACCGCAAGGUUGAAACUCAAAGGAAUUGACGGGGGCCCGCACAAGCGGUGGGGCAUGUGGUUUAAUUCGAAGCAACGCGAAGAACCUUACCAGGUCUUGACAUCCCUCUGACCGCUCUAGAGAUAGAGUUUUCCUUCGGGACAGAGGUGACAGGUGGUGCAUGGUUGUCGUCAGCUCGUGUCGUGAGAUGUUGGGUUAAGUCCCGCAACGAGCGCAACCCCUAUUGUUAGUUGCCAUCAUUGAGUUGGGCACUCUAGCGAGACUGCCGGUAAUAAACCGGAGGAAGGUGGGGAUGACGUCAAAUCAUCAUGCCCCUUAUGACCUGGGCUACACACGUGCUACAAUGGCUGGUACAACGAGUCGCAAGCCGGUGACGGCAAGCUAAUCUCUGAAAGCCAGUCUCAGUUCGGAUUGUAGGCUGCAACUCGCCUACAUGAAGUCGGAAUCGCUAGUAAUCGCGGAUCAGCACGCCGCGGUGAAUACGUUCCCGGGCCU